GAAUGUCACAGGGGCUUGAGUAUCCCUCUAGGGAAGAGUGGCUGGAACACCUAAUGUGAAAGUUUGGGGAAUCUUUGGCUGCUGAGGUUUGGAGAUUGGGAGGUCUGUGGUGAUUCUGGAACUAAUUUUACAAAAUAGACAAUGAAGUAAUUGAUUGAUUCACUGUUUUCCAUUAAGAUUGUGUUUUUGUGGUUUUUCUUGUGGAAAUAAGAGCUCAGAGGGAUGAUGAUAUAACAUUGGAGAAAGGAUGUUGGAACCUCACCCACCUGUGUUUGCCUUCCCAUGCAACUGGAGCAGUGGAAGUUAGAAAGUAGGGUAUGAAAAACGACUGGAAGCAGAGAUCCUCUCCCACAGAGGGGUAGAAUUGGAAGACGCACUCAGAAAGCCUUACGGCCAACCUCCUCAGUUUUCAUACAGGCAAACUAAAUAUUACAGAUGGGAAAAUGCUCACUCUGAUGGAAGCCAGCUGCUAUGCUGUGUGUUGCUCUAUGGAGAGACUCAGGUAGAAGGAAUUGAAGGAGGCUUUCGGCCAACAGUCAGCAAGGUACUGAGGCUUUCAGUCCAAGAGCCUAUAAGGAACUGAAUCCUACCAGCAACCAAGCAAGUGGCUUGAAAAUGGACCCUCUCUCAGCUGAGUCUUUGAAUAAGAUCACAGCUCUUAUUCAAUAUGACACCUUGAUUGUAGUCUUGUUAGAGAUCUUGAGCCAGUGGCACCCAGCUAAGCUGUACCUGUAUUCCUGACCCAUAAAACCCCACAGAUAAUAAAUGUUUGUCAU
rnacentral:lncRNA from 1 species